GUCCACUCUGCCUAUUUCUCGCUCUCCCAGUGUUCCUUAAUGAGGUCUAGGGGUCCCCUCAUGCUCCUUCCGUACAACAGCUCAAAGGGCGAAAAUCCCAUUGAUUCUUGGGGCAGGAAUCGCUCCCAGUCUCUGUAGGCGCCCGUGAACGUCUUCAGCAUCUGCUUCAGAGUCCCGUUAAAGCGCUCACAGAGACCGUUAGUCUGAAGAUGGUAC